rnacentral:rRNA from 1 species
CCUACGGUGAGCAGCAGUGGGGAAUAUUGCGCAAUGGGCGAAAGCCUGACGCAGCGACGCCGCGUGAGGGAUGAAGGUCUUCCGAUCGUUAACCUCUGUCAGUAGGGAAGUAAGGUCACUGUGCUAAUCAGCAUUGAAUUUACGGUACCUGCAAAGGAAGCACCGGCUAACUCCGUGACAGGAGCCGCGGUAAUAGGGAGGGGGCGAGCGUUAAUCGGAUUUACGGGGCGUAAAGGGCUCGUAGGCGGUAUGUCAAGUCAAGGGUGAAAUCCCCGCGCUCAACGUGGGAACUGCCUUUGAAACUGGCAGACUGGAGUGUGUGAGAGGAUAGUGGAAUUCCAGGUGUAGCAGUGAAAUCCGUAGAUAUCUGGAGGAACAUCGGUGGCGAAGGCGACUAACUGGCACAUAACUGACGCUGAGGAGCGAAAGCGUGGGUAGCAAACAGGAUUAGAUACCCCGGUAGUC